rfam:Stegodyphus mimosarum contig12100, whole genome shotgun sequence.
GCUUUCGUGGUGUAGUGGUCAGCAUGCUCGGCGCAUAACCGAAAGGUCCGUGGUUCGAUUCCCGGCGAAGACG